GGCCGAGUGGCGAAACUGGCAGACGCACGGGACUUAAAAUCCCGAGGAGAGUUAUCUCCGUGCGGGUUCAAGUCCCGCCUCGGCCA
rnacentral:tRNA from 1 species